UACGUAGGGGGCGAGCGUUGUCCGGAAUCAUUGGGCGUAAAGCGCGUGUAGGCGGCUCGAUAAGUCCGGUGUGAAACCUUGGGGCUCAACCCCAAGCCUGCACUGGAUACUGCCGAGCUAGAGUCCGGGAGGGGAGAGCGAAUUCCUAGUGUAGCGGUGAAAUGCGCAGAUAUAGGAAGAACACCGGUGGCGAAGGCGGCUCUCUGGA
rnacentral:rRNA from 1 species